CCUGGCUCAGAUUGAACGCUGGCGACAGGCCUAACACAUGCAAGUCGAGCGGUAACAGGGGUAGCUUGCUACCCGCUGACGAGCGGCGGACGGGUGAGUAAUGCAUAGGAAUUUACCCGAUAGUGGGGGAUAACCUGGGGAAACCCAGGCUAAUACCGCAUACGUCCUACGGGAGAAAGGGGGCUCCGGCUCCCGCUAUCGGAUGAGCCUAUGCCGGAUUAGCUGGUUGGUGAGGUAAUGGCUCACCAAGGCGACGAUCCGUAGCUGGUCUGAGAGGAUGAUCAGCCACAUCGGGACUGAGACACGGCCCGAACUCCUACGGGAGGCAGCAGUGGGGAAUAUUGGACAAUGGGGGCAACCCUGAUCCAGCCAUGCCGCGUGUGUGAAGAAGGCCCUCGGGUUGUAAAGCACUUUCAGUGAGGAAGAACGCCUGAUGGUUAAUACCCGUCAGGAAAGACAUCACUCACAGAAGAAGCACCGGCUAACUCCGUGCCAGCAGCCGCGGUAAUACGGAGGGCGCAAGCGUUAAUCGGAAUUACUGGGCGUAAAGCGCGCGUAGGUGGCUUGAUAAGCCGGUUGUGAAAGCCCCGGGCUCAACCUGGGAACGGCAUCCGGAACUGUCAGGCUAGAGUGCAGGAGAGGAAGGUAGAAUUCCCGGUGUAGCGGUGAAAUGCGUAGAGAUCGGGAGGAAUACCAGUGGCGAAGGCGGCCUUCUGGACUGACACUGACACUGAGGUGCGAAAGCGUGGGUAGCAAACAGGAUUAGAUACCCUGGUAGUCCACGCCGUAAACGAUGUCGACCAGC
rnacentral:rRNA from 1 species